GGCCUCAUCGUCUAACGGCUAGGACAGAGCCUUCUCAAGGCUUAAAUCGGGGUUCGAUUCCCCGUGGGGCUACCA
rnacentral:tRNA from 2 species